AUCCAGCUGACGAGUCCCAAAUAGGACAAAACGCACGUCCUGGAU
rfam:Schistosoma curassoni strain Dakar, Senegal genome assembly, scaffold: SCTD_scaffold0012024